AGUGGCCUUGCUGCCACGAUCCACUUUGAGAUUCAGCCCUUUGUCGCUAAGAUUCGACCCUCCCCUAAAUCACUCAAAAAAACAAUCCCCAAUUCUACACAAGUGUUUCUACACUAACAAAGCAACAGCUCCUUAACGAAUUCCCAACUUUACACGAGCUCGUCUCUCGAGGUUAAAUGUUAUUACUUGGUAAGAUUCCGGACCUCGCCAAGUGUUUUGAAAACCCGCAACGCUUCGCAAAGGUGCAUAGUGAGAAGAAUAAGUGAAGAGACAGACUUGUCCAAAACGCUCACGAAGGUGCAUAGUGAGAAGAGUAAGUCAAGAGACAGACUUGUCCAAAAAGAAACAAAAGAGAAUGCUUGGGGUUACACUCACGAAGGUGCAUAGUGAGAAGAGUAAGUCAAGAGCAGACUUGUUCAAAAGAACCAGAAGAGAAUGCUUGGGGAGAGGGAAGUGUGAGAUAGUUCUCAAGCUAAGAAAGUUGUAAAAGCUAAGAACUAGCAUCAAAUGAUGGAUGAAACACAAGGUAGUUGUUGAAAAGUCAAACACUUGGUGAUAUGAACACAAACGUUCAAUAUGACAAACCCAUGCCAAGUAAAGAGAAAAUGAAAACUGGUGAUUGUUGCGAAAUUGUCCAGGAUUCCUCGACCAGGACUUGAAAUCGUCGAGGGAAAAUAAUCGGUUCCGAGGAAUCGUCGAUCCGGACUUGGAAUCGUCGAGAAAAGUUUACGGGUCCGAGGAAUCGUCGAU
rnacentral:misc_RNA from 1 species